UUGACUGUCCAGGGGAGUGAUGUCCUCCGUUUAUUCACAGGAGUAAAAGAUGGAUCCUGCCAACAUAUCCAAGCCUGAUCUGGAGGUACCACAUCUAGGCGUGAGGGGCAAUUCAGUUUAUAGACCCAUCCUAUCCUUGGCCUUU
rnacentral:sRNA from 1 species